AAAAAUUAAAACCCAAAUGCUCAAAAGGUGCUACCGGGGAAACCUAAAAGUUGAAGAAAGGUAAACUUAAAUAACAUUUUGAUGCUUAACCGAACGUGAUUCAAUACGCCAAAGUAAAUUCUACAAAAUUGUAACUUUCACUUUGCACAGAAAAGACAACGCAAACGAAUUGAAAUCCCCUAUAAUUAAAAGAUAAAUGCAUAACAACACAAACAAAUUGAUUGAAAACUUAAAACUUCAAUAGGUUUAAAGAAAAGUGGGAAAUACCAUAGACAACCCCACUUCAAUUCUCGAUAAUCCACUGAUUGAAUUCCGAUAAUUGAUUCAUGUCUGAUUUAGUGUCUUCUCAACGUGUUAAACUCCCAUUCACACCCACUUGUUUCCGCGAUGAACAAUCAAAUGGCAAGUAUCUUUAGAAACCCAUC
rnacentral:lncRNA from 1 species